UACCGAAAUGCUACCGAAUAUAC
rnacentral:siRNA from 1 species